CUCAGUAACCCGUGGACAAUCUGCCCUAAGGUGGGGAAUAAUCUCGGGAAACUGAGCAUAAUACCCCAUAGAUCAUGGAUGCUGGAAUGCUUCAUGGUCAAAAGCUCCGGCGCCUUAGGAUGAGUCUGCGGCCUAUCAGGUCGUAGUGGGUGUAAAGGACCCACUAGCCACUGACGGGUACGGGCGUUGGGAGACGUCGCCCGGAGAUGGAUUCUGAGACACGAAUCCAGGCCCUACGGGGCGCAGCAGUUACGAAAACUUGGCAAUGUGGGAAACCACGACCAGGGAAUUCCAAGUGCAUGCACAUUGUGUAUGCUGUUCCAUUGUCUUAAAAACAUAGGAAGUAAGGGCUGGGUAAGACAGGUGCCAGCCGCAGCAAUAAUACCUGCAGCCCGAGUGGUGGUCGAUAUUAUUGAGCCUAAAGCGUCCGUAGCCGGACCAGUAAAUUCUUGGGUAAAUCGGGCAGCUUAACUGUCCGACUUCCGAGGAGACUGCUGGUCUUGGGACUGGGAGAGGUCAGAGGUACUCCAGGGGUAGGGGCUAAAUCCUGUAAUCCUUGGGGGACCACCAGUGGCGAAGGCGUCUGACUAGAACGGAUCCGACGGUAAGGGACGAAACCCUGGGGCGCAAACCGGAUUAGAUACCCGGGUAGUCCAGGGCGUAAACGCUGCAGGCUUGGUGUUGGGGAUCGUACGAGGAUGUCCAGUGCCGGAGAGAAGUGUUACGCCUGCCCUUGGGGAGUACGUCCGCAAGGAUGAAACUAAAG
rnacentral:rRNA from 1 species